GGACAGGUGUCCGAGUGGUUGAAGGAGCCGGUCUCGAAAACCGGUGGGCCCGCAAGGGUCUCGUGGGUUCGAAUCCCACCCUGUCCG
rnacentral:tRNA from 1 species